AUUUGGUUGUAUGGGGUCUACAUUGGCCUUCUGUGUUGUAAGUUAUAAUGAUUGCACAGCCAUUAAGGAUCAAAUCAGCUCCUAAAAAUUUUCUGUUUUUUCUCCCUCUGCUUGCUUCUUACUGUCUUUGAGGCUCGGGACCAGCACUCCUGUUGUUGGACAGAAAGACAUCAACUCAGCGACUUGAGAUAUGACUGCACUAUGCUGUUGCUGUUGACUCCAGUUAAUUCUACAAGACAUGCUGUGACACCAGGAGAGACGAGUCCUCCGUCACAGAUGGUGUGGUCAGUGAAGAUGGUCGCCUGCAGGUUCAAGCUCAUUGCAUCUCCAACCCACAUCCACUGCCACUGUACUUAAGGGAAGUUAAAGACUUUCUUCUGCACUUACAUUUGGAUCACCUCGAUCCAUGAUAGUCAUUCAGGCAGUAAUGCCUGGACUGGAAAC
ensembl:lncRNA